rnacentral:lncRNA from 1 species
UUCGAUUUCAUUCAUCAGAAAUUUUCUUUUAGUUUAUUCCAAUCGUAUAUCGAUUUCCCAAUAAAAAUUAUUUCUUACAUUUCCAAAUAUCUUCUUUUCUUUUUCACUUUUGCUACUUGCCUCAACCUUUUGAUAGAUCUGUUGUUGUCGAUCUGUUCUUAACAUGAUACCCAGAUCUUUGGCCAGUGUGUCAAGAUCGGUUCAUAACAUGUUGAUAGUUCAUAGGGUUCCCAUUCAAGACAAUGGGGUUAAGGUUCCUGUCGAGUCAUUGAUUCCAAAGUCACAUCAAUAGCAGACUCGUCUUCUGUUGCCAUAACAAAACUUCUGUUAUUGUUUUCAGAAUUUGUUAUGUCACAGUUUGCACCGAGUUCACUUGCUGGAUCCUUAUAAAUAUCCCGCAUUAAACGAUAUUUUUGAAUUUUGGAGGUUUUCUUCUUUGUCUGCUUCUUUCUUUUUGUUGUUACCAGCAUCUUUAAUCACUCUUUGUUCAUAAGUCGGUUUUCACCGUUGAUUCAAUCAUACCGUAAAAUAAAUAUCCGCUCAAAAUUUGGAAAAAUCAAUGUCAUACGAGUUGCAGUCUUGUGUAGAUCCUCUAAUUUUUUUAUAUAAAUUAAAUUCCAAUAUGAAAAAUAAAGGUAGCACGGAUGAUGAGAUUCACUGAUUACAAGGUGGAAACUAGAAACAAGAAUAAUGAUGCAGGUAGCACUAAUUAAGAAGUCCAAGACUUUUGACAACAGUUGUUCAGAAUCAGAGGCUGUUAUUUUUCUUAUCAUCAAUGUUUUGAUGGAUAAAGGUUGUGAUUGAUAGAAAUUUUGAUGAAUGUGAUAGAACUAUUAAGUUCGGUGUUGUCCUAAGAUGUUGAAGUGAUAGAACUAUUAAGUUCAAUGUUGUCCUAAGAUGUUGAAAGAUAUAGUGUUUCGGUUGUACAUCAUAACAUAUCAUAUUGUCUAAUAUCAUCUUACACGGUAUAGUAUCGUAUCAUACCAUACCAUUUUGUAUUGUAUCGUAUCAUAUCAUAUAUAAUAUCAUGUCAUGCCAUGAUGUACCUUAUCGUCGUAUCAUAUCAUAUUAUAUUAUAUUAUAUCGUAUUACAUAAUCGUGUACACCACACCAUACCAUAUUAAGAUU